rnacentral:rRNA from 1 species
AUUGAACGCUGGCGGCAUGCCUUACACAUGCAAGUCGAACGGUAACGGGCCUUCGGGUGCCGACGAGUGGCGAACGGGUGAGUAAUGCAUCGGAACGUACCUUUCAGUGGGGGAUAACGUAGCGAAAGUUACGCUAAUACCGCAUAUUCUGUGCGCAGGAAAGCAGGGGAUCGCAAGACCUUGCGCUGAUUGAGCGGCCGAUGUCAGAUUAGCUAGUUGGUGAGGUAAAGGCACACCAAGGCGACGAUCUGUAGCGGGUCUGAGAGGAUGAUCCGCCACACUGGAACUGAGACACGGUCCAGACUCCUACGGGAGGCUGCAGUGGGGAAUUUUGGACAAUGGGGGCAACCCUGAUCCAGCCAUGCCGCGUGAGUGAAGAAGGCCUUCGGGUUGUAAAGCUCUUUCGGCCGGGAAGAAAUCGCAUGGGUUAAUACCCUGUGCGGAUGACGGUACCGGCAUAAGAAGCACCGGCUAACUACGUGCCAGCCGCCGCCGUAAUAC